GACGAACGCUGGCGGCAUGCUUAACACAUGCAAGUCGAACGAGACCUUCGGGUCUAGUGGCGCAGGGGGGCGUAACGCGGGGGAACCUGCCCGUAGGUUCGGAAUAACUCCCCGAAAGGGGUGCUAAUACCGGAUAAGGUCUUCGGACCAAAGAUUUAUCGCCGUUGGAUGGGCCCGCGUUGGAUUAGCGAGUUGGUAGGGUAAAAGCCUACCAAGGCGACGAUCCAUAGCUGGUCUGAGAGGAUGAUCAGCCACACUGGGACUGAGACACGGCCCAGACUCCUACGGAAGGCAGCAGUGGGGAAUAUUGGACAAUGGGCGCAAGCCUGAUCAAGCAAUGCCGCGUGAGAGAUGAAGGCGUUAGGGUUGUAAAGCUGUUUUACCCGGGAUGAUAAUGACAGUACCGGGAAAAUAAGCUCCGGCUAACUCCGUG
rnacentral:rRNA from 1 species